CCUACGGGGGGCAGCAGUGGGGAAUAUUGGACAAUGGGCGAAAGCCUGAUCCAGCCAUGCCGCGUGUGUGAAGAAGGCCUUCGGGUUGUAAAGCACUUUCAGUGGGGAAGAAAGCCUUGGGGCUAAUACCCUCGAGGAAGGACAUCACCCACAGAAGAAGCACCGGCUGAACUCCGUGCCAGCAGCCGCGGUAAUACGGAGGGUGCGAGCGUUAAUCGGAAUUACUGGGCGUAAAGCGCGCGUAGGCGGUUUGAUAAGCCGGUUGUGAAAGCCCCGGGCUCAACCUGGGAACGGCAUCCGGAACUGGCAAGCUAGAGUGCAGGAGAGGAAGGUAGAAUUCCCGGUGUAGCGGUGAAAUGCGUAGAGAUCGGGAGGAAUACCAGUGGCGAAGGCGGCCAUCUGGACUGACACUGACGCUGAGGUGCGAAAGCGUGGGUAGCAAACAGGAUUAGAUACCCCAGUAGUC
rnacentral:rRNA from 1 species